rnacentral:lncRNA from 1 species
GCUAAAGAAGGAGAGAGGACAGUGAAUUUCGGCAGUCUAGAAAUGAUGAAGUCCAUUGGCAACAAUACAAAUUUAUCUAAUAAAAUGUUUAAAAAGUAAAACGUAGGUAGACAAAAAUUUUAGGGCAAAAAAUCAAUACAAGAAGAAAGCGGAGACAUAAGUGGCGUUGGCGAUGGCGGUGGCGGUGGUAAUCGCGAUGGUGGUGGAGGAAAGGAUUCCGAUUGCGAUGGAGACAACAAUGAAGGAGGGGAUAGCGAUGGAGACGACAAUGGCGGUGGAUAUAUGAUUGCGACGCCACGCGACGACGAUAGCAGCGGUGGAGGUGGCGACCGCGACGGCGAUAGCGGC